AGUGAAUAGAUACCCUGGUAGUCCACGCUGUAAACGAUGAGUGCUGGACGUUGGCGGGUUUACCUGCCGGUGUCGCAGCUAACGCGUUAAGCACUCCGCCUGGGGAGUACGGCCGCAAGGUUAAAACUCAAAGGAAUUGACGGGGGCCCGCACGAGCGGUGGAGCAUGUGGUUUAAAUUCGACGCAACGCGCAGAACCGUUACCAGCCCUUGACAUGGGCGGACGGGUUCCAGAGAUGGACUCUUUCUCGCAAGAGCCACUACACAGGUGCUGCAUGGCUGUCGUCAGCUCGUGUCGUGAGAUG
rnacentral:rRNA from 1 species